rnacentral:rRNA from 1 species
GACGAACGCUGGCGGCGUGCUUAACACAUGCAAGUCGAACGGAAAGGCCCUGCUUUUGUGGGGUGCUCGAGUGGCGAACGGGUGAGUAACACGUGAGUAACCUGCCCUUGACUUUGGGAUAACUUCAGGAAACUGGGGCUAAUACCGGAUAGGAGCUCCUGCUGCAUGGUGGGGGUUGGAAAGUUUCGGCGGUUGGGGAUGGACUGGCGGAUUAUCAGCUUGUUGGUGGGGUAGUGGCUUACCAAGGCUUUGACGGGUAGCCGGCCUGAGAGGGUGACCGGCCACAUUGGGACUGAGAUACGGCCCAGACUCCUACGGGAGGCAGCGGUGGGGAAUAUUGCACAAGGGGCGGAAGCCUGAUGCAGCAACGCCGCGUGCGGGAUGACGGCCUUCGGGUUGUAAACCGCUUUCGCCUGUGACGAAGCGUGAGUGACGGUAAUGGGUAAAGAAGCACCGGCUAACUACGUG